UACGUAGGUGGCAAGCGUUGUCCGGAAUUAUUGGGCGUAAAGCGCGCGCAGGCGGUUCUUUAAGUCUGAUGUGAAAGCCCACGGCUCAACCGUGGAGGGUCAUUGGAAACUGGGAGACUUGAGUGCAGAAGAGGAAAGUGGAAUUCCAUGUGUAGCGGUGAAAUGCGUAGAGAUAUGGAGGAACACCAGUGGCGAAGGCGACUUUCUGGUCUGUAACUGACACUGAGGCGCGAAAGCGUGGGGAGCAAACAGG
rnacentral:rRNA from 1 species